rnacentral:lncRNA from 1 species
GAAUUGCAAAGAAACAACACUAACAAAGUUUAGACACAUAAAUUUUGAAGGUCUAGCUACCAUAUUAUUACCCACAAGGGUAAAGGAACAGUACCACUGCUGGAUAAUUGGAAAGUCCCGGUGUGUCAACCUCUGUGCUUCGUGGCAAGGUAGACUAGCAAACAUGCCCAACCUUUACUCACAUUCGAGAAAACACUCCCAACAGGAUUGCUUGCUCCAAAAUCGAAGAGGCACCGCCCUCCGAAUCUCGAGAGCCAGACUCCCAACAUGAUUACUUUCUCAAAAAUCGAAGAGAGGGUAAAAGAACAGUACCACUGCUGGAUAAUUGGAAAGUCCCUGUGUGUCAACCUUUGUGCUUCGUGGCAAGGUAGACUAGCAAACAUGCCCAACCUUUACUCACAUUCGAGAAAACACUCCCAACAAGAUUGCUUGCUCCAAAAUCGAAGAGGCACCGCCCUCCGAAUCUCGAGAGCCAGACUCCCAACAUGAUUACUUUCUCAAAAAUUGAAGAGAGGGUAAAGGAACAGUACCACUGCUGGAUAAUUGGAAAGUCCCUGUGUGUCAAUCUCUGUGCUUCGUGGCAAGGUAGACUAGCAAACAUGCCCAACCUUUACUCACAUUCGAGAAAACACUCCCAAUAAGAUUGCUUGCUCCAAAAUCGAAGAGGCACCGCCCUCCGAAUCUCGAGAGCUAGACUCCCAACAUGAUUACUUUCUCAAAAAUCGAAGAGACACCGCUCUCCGAAUCUCGAGAGCCAGACCCCCAGCAGGAUUGCUUUCUCAAAAAUCGAAGAGGCAUCGUUCUCCGAAUCUCGAGAGCCAGAUCCCCGACAGGAGUGCUUGUUCGAAAACCGAAGAGGCACCACUUUCCCAACUUCAAGAGCUGGAUCUCCUUGGAUAAAGCUUGUCUGUAAUCUUCACACGCAACAUCAGCUUUCCAGAUACCACAGACGACUUUUUCAAAGUGCUCUGACAGAGUUAAAACAUGUGAAGCUGGCAGCUCCCACUACCGUGCUAUAACCAAGCAGGGUAAAGGAAUAACAUUAUUACUUGAUGUUAGGGAGACUCCUAUAUAUGUCGACCUCCAUCCCUAACG